UACGUAGGGGGCAAGCGUUGUCCGGAUUUAUUGGGCGUAAAGAGCGUGUAGGCGGCCUGAAAGGUCAGCUGUGAAAACUCGAGGCUCAACCUCGAGACGUCGGUUGAAACCAUCUGGCUAGAGUCCGGAAGAGGAGUGUGGAAUUCCCGGUGUAGCGGUGAAAUGCGCAGAUAUCGGGGAAGAACGACCCGUGGCGAAGGCGGCACUCUGGGACGGUACUGACGCUGAGACGCGAAAGCGUGGGGAGCGAACAGG
rnacentral:rRNA from 1 species